rnacentral:lncRNA from 1 species
UCUCCAAACGACAGCCCAUGUGCACAUAGCUGUACCUGCAGUGUGGAAGGACAGUCAGAGACUGGGACCUGGGAGCAAGACAGGAAGCAAAGCCAUUGGGCAGUCCUGUCCAUCCCAGCUAUUCCUCUUGCCUCUGUGAUAAGCAUUGCCCUGGACUGCUUGGACAAGUAGGAGACCUCAGUUUCCAUAGAGGGGCCUAGUUCAAGACCCAAAACUUACUUCGAUGUAGGGUCUAGGAUCUAGAGCCACUGUCUUACUCCUCCUCUCGAAUCAUUCUGGGGUUAUCUGUUUCAUUCCUCAAGACAGUUAAAGCCUCUCUAGAGCCAGAUGGCAGCUGUUAAUACCUUUCUUGGGAUUUAGAUGAUGACGUGUCAUGCUGAGGGACCCUUUCCUAUGCAGAUACCAGCUGUCACAUUAGGGCAUGGGUGGGGCCAGCCCUCUGGGGUGUUUUGCUGAAGGAAGCAGGGCUUGCCCGAGUGUGCAGCACUGAAGGCCAGCUGGUCUACCUGGCCUGGAGGUAGUGUAAAGCCACUCUAGACUCACGUUGUAUUUCUCAUCUGUCUGCCUUGGGGACAGGCAAUGCCCCAGUAGGGGCUUGAUUGCUGUGAUCAUUUGGACUGUUCAGAAUCUGAUGUGUCUGACUGUCCUCUGGUUCUUCUAGGAUCUGAUAGUCCCACUCCCAAACACACCUUUCUCCAAUCUUCUCCCCUCUCUUAGUAACAGUGUUAGCCCUGCUGUGUUCAUGUCUUUCCCAGUCUCCUCCUUCCUUCCCCACAACAUACUGACCAUCUUCACCUGUGCUGAGUCCAGUUCACCACCUGCCCAAAUCUCUCUGCAGCUCAUCACCACCAGUGUGUCCUGAGAGGCUGGCAAAAUUUGCAAAAUGAAAAUGUCUUCUACCACAUUUUUCAGUUUUGCCACCAAAAUUUGACAGAGCCUGGAGCUGCUUCUGCUGCCCUGCGUGUGCUCAGUGACCUGGAGAGGAUCUAGCCAAGUCUCUCCUUAGCAGUUCCCAAGCUAUUCUUUCUCUCAUACCGUGCUGCUCUGGGAGGAGAGGGCAGCUCUUGGAGGAUGCUAGUCGUGAGGAAGCCUAUUGGACCACCACAACUCACUUGAAUACUUUGAUCCCAAAUUCUGCUGUUAUUAAAAUAGGCAGUAGGCUGGCAGCUGGGACGUGUGAGAGCAGACGAGGGAUUCUUUUCAGGCGGAGAACGAAUAAGGAAGACUGAGGAUGCAGAUUGGAAUGGAAGAAAAUGCCAAGUGAUUAAAUGGCUCUAGAUGAGUGGAGAUACGGCUUAAGAGAUUGAUG